AGCUCCAAUAGCGUAUAUUAAAGUUGUUGCAGUUAAAAAGCUCGUAGUUGGAUUUCUGAUGUCUUUUUCUGCCCUUCUUGUCAGCCAAGUGUUGAUGUAGGGUUUGAUUGGAUGUCAUCCUUCCCUGUGAAUUUGCGGCUGGUCAUUCAAUUGUCUCGGUUGUGAAUGGGGAUCGUUUACUGUGAAAAAAUUAGAGUGUUCAAAGCAAGUUUUGUUUUCUUGAAUACAUUAGCAUGGAAUAAUAAGAUAGGACUUGGGUACUAUUUUGUUGGUUUGCAUACCUAAGUAAUGAUUAAUAGGAACAUAUUGGGGAUAUCUGUAUUUUUUAGUCAGAGGUGAAAUUCUUGGAUUUAAGAAAGACAAACUACAGCGAAAGCAUUUAUCAAGGAUGUUUUCAUUA
rnacentral:rRNA from 1 species